rnacentral:rRNA from 1 species
GACGAACGCUGGCGGCGUGCUUAACACAUGCAAGUCGAACGAAGAGCGAUGGAAGCUUGCUUCUAUCAAUCUUAGUGGCGAACGGGUGAGUAACGCGUAAUCAACCUGCCCUUCAGAGGGGGACAACAGUUGGAAACGACUGCUAAUACCGCAUACGAUCUAAUCUCGGCAUCGAGGAUAGAUGAAAGGUGGCCUCUACAUGUAAGCUAUCACUGAAGGAGGGGAUUGCGUCUGAUUAGCUAGUUGGAGGGGUAACGGCCCACCAAGGCGAUGAUCAGUAGCCGGUCUGAGAGGAUGAACGGCCACAUUGGGACUGAGACACGGCCCAGACUCCUACGGGGGCAGCAGUGGGGAAUCUUCCGCAAUGGACGAAAGUCUGACGGAGCAACGCCGCGUGAGUGAUGACGGCCUUCGGGUUGUAAAGCUCUGUUAAUCGGGACGAAAGGCCUUCUUGCGAAUAGUGAGAAGGAUUGACGGUACCGGAAUAGAAAGCCACGGCUAACUACGUG